UACGUAGGGGGCAAGCGUUGUCCGGAUUUAUUGGGCGUAAAGAGCGUGUAGGCGGCUAGGUAGGUCCGUUGUGAAAACUCGAGGCUCAACCUCGAGACGCCGGUGGAAACCAUCUAGCUAGAGUCCGGAAGAGGAGAGUGGAAUUCCUGGUGUAGCGGUGAGAUGCGCAGAUAUCGGGAAGAACACCCGUGGCGAAGGCGGCUCUCUGGGACGGUACUGACGCUGAGACGCGAAAGCGUGGGGAGCGAACAGG
rnacentral:rRNA from 1 species